ACACUUGGUAGCUCAGUAGGCAGAGCAUGAGACUCUUAAUUUCAAGCUCAUGGCUUUGAGCCCCGUCUUGGGCA